UACAGAGGUCCCAAGCGUUGUUCGGAUUCAUUGGGCGUAAAGGGUGUGUAGGUGGCGCCGUAAGUCGGGUGUGAAAUUUCGGAGCUUAACUCCGAAACUGCAUUCGAUACUGCGGUGCUUGAGGACUGGAGAGGAGACUGGAAUUCACGGUGUAGCAGUGAAAUGCGUAGAUAUCAGGAGGAAUACCGAUGGCGAAGGCAGGUCUCUGGGCUGACACUGACGCUCAUGCACGAAAGCGUGGGGAGCAAACAGG
rnacentral:rRNA from 1 species